UAUGGGAAACGUAAAACAAAGGCCCUCAAAAUGCUUGCGGCUUCCGGUUGCUCAGGUCGAUCAAACCGAGAAAUCAUGAGAAGCUUUAAUCAAGAACCAAGAGUUGAUAUUUAGGAAGAAAAGGCAAGAAAUUGACUCAUAAAACACUUUCAAACAAACGGAUUCCACCCGGAAGUUGAGUCGGAUAGGCCUCGUGUGUGACUGCUUCCUGAAAGCAUGUGGUGCAGAGGUGGUCAGCCGAGAACCCAGAGAAUAUCACGGGAGAAGUUACACUAUCGACAAGGUUAUAUGUUCCAACUGCCAAGCCUGUGGUCUUCACUAGAAAUGUUGCAGAAGCCUCUCGUCAGCCUGAUGUACUGUAUGUGGCAUCAGUGCCCACAAGCAAGAUGAGGUUAAUCUGCACCUGUGUGCUGGGGACAAGGGAUUGCUGCCUUCUCAGUGACUGAGAUGAUGUUACACUGGACAGGAGACAUGAUGACUACUUCCACGUCCAGGCACAAGUUUGUGGUGUGGAACUAUCAUGACAUUUUUGCUGAAAGAAUUUUUCAGUGAUAUGAUUUCCAAAGUUGAGAAUUUUUUCAGCAUUAUUAUACCUCCAGAAGGUUUGGGACAGCAAGUAGUAAUAGUAGUAAUAUGUUGACAUGUAGUAUGACAGAGGCCCACAUCAGUUCAGGCACUAGAUAAAAUACCUUAACUCUUUCUAAAGGUAGCUAGCUAACUAGCUGCUGGACGACUACUUUAAAUUAAGUGGUGUUAUUUUUGAAUGAGUUUUCUCCACUAAUGACUUCUACAGUGUACAUGUAGGGGGAUAAGAGAAGAAAUAAUGUAUUUAAUUCAUUACUGCCCUGUCUUUGGUUCAUUUAAGAUCUGAAUGUAUCAUGUUAAGACAGUAAUGUAAUGCUGUAUUCCUCGGCUGCUUCAAAGAAGUACACAGAAGCAUCAGAAUUGUAUUCUAUUUAAUAUAGUUUAGUUGAGUAAUAUAGCUAAGUAAUUGAUUAAGUAAUAUAGUUAAUAUAUACUAAGUGAUUUAAUUAAGAAAUUGUUAAGUAAGCAAGUAAUGAAUAGUUCAAGUUCUU